rnacentral:pre_miRNA from 1 species
ACAACAUUCGGACCGUCGGUCUACCGAGCAACAUCACCCGCUGGGUGGAAGAUCUUCCUUUCGUCGU